AGGGUUUGAUCCUGGCUCAGAACGUACGCUGGCGGCACGCCUAAUACAUGCAAGUCGAACGAAGUAGCAAUACUUAGUGGCAGACGGGUGAGUAACAUGUAGGUAUCUUCCCUUUGGUGAGGAAUAACACGAGGAAACUUGUGCUAAUACCUCAUAAGUCUUUACGGAGAAAGCUUUAUGCGCCAUUGGAUGAGCCUGCACUUGAUUAGUUUGUUGGUGGGGUAAUGGCUUACCAAGACAAUGAUCAAUAGCUGAUUUGAGAGGAUGAUCAGCCACAUUGGGACUGAGACACGGCCCAAACCCCUACGGGAGGCAGCAGUAGGGAAUCUUGCACAAUGGGGGCAACCCUGAUGCAGCGAUGCCGCGUGAGUGAAGAAGGCCUUUGGGUUGUAAAGCUCUUUCGUCGGGGAAGAAAAUGACUGUACCCGAAUAAGAAGGUCCGGCUAACUUCGUGCCAGCAGCCGCGGUAAUACGAAGGGACCUAGCGUAGUUCGGAAUUACUGGGCUUAAAGAGUUCGUAGGUGGUUAAAAAAGUUGGUGGUGAAAUCCCAGAGCUUAACUCUGGAACUGCCAUCAAAACUUUUUAGCUAGAGUAUGAUAGAGGAAAGCAGAAUUUCUAGUGUAGAGGUGAAAUUCGUAGAUAUUAGAAAGAAUACCGAUUGCGAAGGCAGCUUUCUGGAUCAUUACUGACACUGA
rnacentral:rRNA from 1 species